GGCAUCUCCGACGCCGCGUCGGCGGUCGGCGACUUCAUGACCUGGAUCGCCAACGGCGGGAAUUCCUGACCG
rnacentral:tRNA from 1 species